GCCUCGGUGGUGCAGUGGUAGAGCACGAGUUUCCGGAUAGGAUGAAACGCGGGUUCGAUUCCCGACUGAGGCC